CAGUAGCCGCGGUAAUACGAAGGGGGCUAGCGUUGUUCGGAAUUACUGGGCGUAAAGCGCACGUAGGCGGAUUUUUAAGUCAGUGGUGAAAUCCCGAGGCUCAACCUCGGAACUGCCUUUGAUACUGGAGAUCUUGAGUUCGGAAGAGGUUGGUGGAACAGCUAGUGUAGAGGUGAAAUUCGUAGAUAUUAGCUAGAACACCAGUGGCGAAGGCGGCCAACUGGUCCGAUACUGACGCUGAGGUGCGAAAGCGUGGGGAGCAAACAGGAUUAGAUACCCCUGUAGUCCCUGUCUCUUAUAC
rnacentral:rRNA from 1 species